GACGAACGCUGGCGGCGUGCCUAAUACAUGCAAGUAGAACGCUGAAGGAGGAGCUUGCUUCUCUGGAUGAGUUGCGAACGGGUGAGUAACGCGUAGGUAACCUGCCUGGUAGCGGGGGAUAACUAUUGGAAACGAUAGCUAAUACCGCAUAAUAGUAGAUGUUGCAUGACAUUUGCUUAAAAGGUGCAAUUGCAUCACUACCAGAUGGACCUGCGUUGUAUUAGCUAGUUGGUGAGGUAACGGCUCACCAAGGCGACGAUACAUAGCCGACCUGAGAGGGUGAUCGGCCACACUGGGACUGAGACACGGCCCAGACUCCUACGGGAGGCAGCAGUAGGGAAUCUUCGGCAAUGGACGGAAGUCUGACCGAGCAACGCCGCGUGAGUGAAGAAGGUUUUCGGAUCGUAAAGCUCUGUUGUAAGAGAAGAACGAGUGUGAGAGUGGAAAGUUCACACUGUGACGGUAUCUACCAGAAAA
rnacentral:rRNA from 1 species